rnacentral:rRNA from 1 species
GACGAACGCUGGCGGCGUGCCUAAUACAUGCAAGUUGAGCGCUGAAGGUUGGUACUUGUACCGACUGGAUGAGCAGCGAACGGGUGAGUAACGCGUGGGGAAUCUGCCUUUGAGCGGGGGACAACAUUUGGAAACGAAUGCUAAUACCGCAUAAAAACUUUAAACUCAAGUUUUAAGUUUGAAAGAUGCAAUUGCAUCACUCAAAGAUGAUCCCGCGUUGUAUUAGCUAGUUGGUGAGGUAAAGGCUCACCAAGGCGAUGAUACAUAGCCGACCUGAGAGGGUGAUCGGCCACAUUGGGACUGAGACACGGCCCAAACUCCUACGGGAGGCAGCAGUAGGGAAUCUUCGGCAAUGGACGAAAGUCUGACCGAGCAACGCCGCGUGAGUGAAGAAGGUUUUCGGAUCGUAAAACUCUGUUGGUAGAGAAGAACGUUGGUGAGAGUGGAAAGCUCAUCAAGUGACGGUAACUACCCAGAAAGGGACGGCUAACUACGUG